rnacentral:rRNA from 1 species
AUUGAACGCUGGCGGCAGGCCUAACACAUGCAAGUCGAGCGAACCUGGCUUGCUAGGUGAGCGGCGAACGGGUGAGUAACGCGUAGGAAUCUGCCUGGUAGUGGGGGACAACGUUCCGAAAGGAACGCUAAUACCGCAUACGCCCUACGGGGGAAAGUGGGGGAUCUUCGGACCUCACGCUAUCAGAGGAGCCUGCGUCGGAUUAGCUAGUUGGUGGGGUAAAGGCCUACCAAGCCGACGAUCGGUAGCUGGUCUGAGAGGAUGAUCAGCCACACUGGGACUGAGAUACGGCCCAGACUCCUACGGGAGGCAGCAGUGGGGAAUAUUGGACAAUGGGGGGCAACCCUGAUCCAGCAAUGCAGCGUGAGUGAUGAAGGCCUUAGGGGUUGUAAAGCUCUUUUGCCAGGAGAUGAUGACUGUACCUGGAGAAUAAAGCCCCGGCUAACUUCGUGCCAGCAGCCGCGGU